ACUCUGCGUAUUGAUUGGUGCUUGCAUCAUGAUUUACAUUUGAGUGAGUGGCGAACUGGUGAGUAACACGUGGGAAACCUGCCCAGAAGCGGGGGAUAACACCUGGAAACAGAUGCUAAUACCGCAUAACAACUUGGACCGCAUGGUCCGAGUUUGAAAGAUGGCUUCGGCUAUCACUUUUGGAUGGUCCCGCGGCGUAUUAGCUAGAUGGUGGGGUAACGGCUCACCAUGGCAAUGAUACGUAGCCGACCUGAGAGGGUAAUCGGCCACAUUGGGACUGAGACACGGCCCAAACUCCUACGGGAGGCAGCAGUAGGGAAUCUUCCACAAUGGACGAAAGUCUGAUGGAGCAACGCCGCGUGAGUGAAGAAGGGUUUCGGCUCGUAAAACUCUGUUGUUAAAGAAGAACAUAUCUGAGAGUAACUGUUCAGGUAUUGACGGUAUUUAACCAGAAAGCCACGGCUAACUACGUGCCAGCAGCCGCGGUAAUACGUAGGUGGCAAGCGUUGUCCGGAUUUAUUGGGCGUAAAGCGAGCGCAGGCGGUUUUUUAAGUCUGAUGUGAAAGCCUUCGGCUCAACCGAAGAAGUGCAUCGGAAACUGGGAAACUUGAGUGCAGAAGAGGACAGUGGAACUCCAUGUGUAGCG
rnacentral:rRNA from 2 species